AGAAGAAAUCUGCAGCCGCAGCGGGCGAGAAGACGACGUACUGGCGGAGCCCCUCGCUC
rnacentral:sRNA from 1 species